rnacentral:rRNA from 1 species
ACGGAGGGGGCUAGCGUUGUUCGGAAUUACUGGGCGUAAAGCGCGCGUAGGCGGAUCUGCAAGUCGGGGGUGAAAUCCCGAGGCUCAACCUCGGAACUGCCUUCGAUACUGCGGGUCUCGAGUCCGGGAGAGGUGAGUGGAAUUCCUAGUGUAGAGGUGAAAUUCGUAGAUAUUAGGAAGAACACCAGUGGCGAAGGCGGCUCACUGGCCCGGUACUGACGCUGAGGCGCGAAAGCGUGGGGAGCAAACAGGA